rnacentral:misc_RNA from 1 species
GAUGAAGAACGUAGCGAAAUGCGAUAAGUAAUGUGAAUUGCAGAAUUCAGUGAACCAUCGAAUCUUUGAACGCACAUUGCGCCCGGCAGUAAUCUGCCGGGCAUGCCUGUCCGAGCGUCAUUUCUACCCUCGAGCGAGUCCAGCAUCUAGGUGCUGGGCCUCGCCCGGCGUUUGAGCACUACGGGAAGCCCUGUGCUGUCCCCCGUAGGCCCCGAAAUGAAGUGGCGGUCCUGCCGCGGCGCCCCCUGCGUAGUAUAACAGCUCGCUUCGGGACCCGGUGGAGGCCUGCCGUCAAACCUAUACUCUCUAAGUUUGACCUCGGAUCAGGUAGGGUUACCCGCUGAACUUAAGCAUAUCAAUAAGCGGAGGA